GUCCCUUCUCUUAAUAAAUGAACUUCAAUUAACUCUAUUGUGUGUGCCCUAGCCCUCUAGGAUUAGCAAAUUCGAUUGCUUUUUGAGUGUUUUGUCUUUGUCAUCAUUCAUUCAAAAAAUAUAUUUUUUAGAACUACAAUAAAUCAACCUUAGUGCAACUAGCUUGCAACUUCUUCACAUGGAAGAGCUGAGUCUGGAGUUCCAAAACCAGUGUUGGCGUCCCCACAUAUUUCUCUAAAAGGAAAUGACGACUAUCACCAUUAGAGUUUGAACCUAGAAUCUCUCUCUAGUGUGCACCAAUUGAAGAAGUGCCAACCAAUAGAUCUAAGGCUCACUUAAUUCUUUUUAGAGAAAAAUUUUUUUUAUGUACCAUACGUGGUGCGCUUGUUUAUACACCAUGCAUAGUGAUUGGCUUAUGCAUGGGACAGGCAAAAUAUAUUUUUUUUCAUACCUCUAUCUGCUCUCGUGCAUGAGCCAAUCACCGCAUAUAAUACGCAUGUUCUAUAUCAUGCACGGUGCACAAAAAAUUUCUCAUAGGGAAAAGGGCUUGUUUAAUUUGAGAAUAUACCUUCAAUGGACUUUGGAUCAUCAACGCUUUUUAAGUUUAAAUGCAUUAUUGCUCAGUCACCACCUAAACAAUAAAAUCAUUAGAAUUAAGUACGUCAUUCCUUGAUAUAUCUUUUUAAUUAAUCCUGGUCAUCUUUAGCGGCUACUGGUAGUGGUCAAUCCUGAAUUUCUGAUUUCUUUUACCGAACUGAACAUUUCCUUGGCAAAAGGAUCACGGUGGC
rnacentral:lncRNA from 1 species